UAUACUAAUUGUGAUUCUAACCUUAGAAAAUGUAUUUUUUUAUAAAUCUGUUAAAUGUAAAAUAAAUAAGUUUAUUUUCAGUUUAAUGGUUUAAUAACAAAUCUACAGCUUAAAUUAAAAUGUACGAUUAAUAUAAUAUACAUUAUGGUCAUGAUAUGUAUUAACUCUGAUAAUAAUACAGUGAAGAGAGCUUGCUAUGAACAGGAAGGGAGAAUACACCAAAAAAGAUAAAAAGAAGUACGAUUUUCUAUUGGGAAUAUGUGUACUUGUAUAGGAUUCGUAAGAAAAUCUCACCGAUUGUACUCUGCUUUUCAAUGGGUUUGUGCCAAAAAAGAGUAAAUCUGGAGCAACAAGACUGAAAUCAACAAAACUGCGAGAUAGUUUCUACGUUUAAUUGUUGCCUUCAAACAUUACUGCAAAUACCUCUUCAGAAAAUCAUACUCUCAAACGUGCAAAUCAAUGGAUUCUAUGCUGUACCUCCCAAACCCGCUUUUUACUUUGAUAUAAAGAUAAUUUGAAGUUACUCUUUUGGAAAUGCAUUAUUGUGAUCAAGAUAUGAUUGCAAUGUAUAAGGUUUUCCACUACUUCUCAAUAUUAAAAAGAAUAUUCUGUGGCAAUGUGCAGUUGAUUUUCAACAACACUUAUAGGAAUGGAAUGUAUCAACAGUACCAAGCAGGUACCACUUUGCUGAGACAUUGACUGGCUUCAGGCAACUAUUCGCCUUAAAAAAAUGUUUAUGGUACUGGUUCUUUAACAACUGCAGCUGUUAUUGGUACUCCUACUUAUUUGAUCCUCCUGUAUAUUCCCCAUUGAAGAUUUAGAACAGAAGGCAGACUUAGGAUAGGGAGACUUCAUUUUGAUCACACUGAUCUCAUUUUUUUAAUUCUAUGAUUUUAUUUUUUUUUAAAGUAAAAUUUAGAUAAAAUGAUUAAAUUCUGUUAUUCGUACAUACAUUCUUAGUACAAACGCAAAUGUUUUAUAUAUUUUAAGUUAAAAUUCAAAUAUUUAUAUUUUUAAAACUAGUAUCACUUCAAGAAUAUAUAUUUUAGUUAAUUCUAAUUGUAAAAAAUACCGGAAUUUAAAAUUAUCUAAAUUUUAUUUAUUGAUUAUUUGCAGUGUUAACACGACAGUGUUCCACACAACCUGUUCAGAAAGUGGAAAAUAUAUUUCAAAAUACAACUUAAUAAAAAAUAAAUAUUUUAAAUUGGAUUCCAAAAUAAUUUUUAAUGAACCGAUUGUGUGGGCACUCUGUAUGUCAUAUACCGUUAUAUUAAUGUUUCUCUCUUUAAAAAAGGAUUUUAAAUUGAUAUUUUUUUAUAUCGGCAUUAUAAAAGCAAAAGUGUAUUAAAUGAUUCAUUGUAUUUAAUUAAUAGAUUUUUAAAAAAAAUGUAAAAGUAAAAUUGAGAAAAGAUAAAUUCUAUAAUUUAAAUAUUAAUUUCAGUAUAAAUACGUUUAUUUUUAUAUAUUUUAAUUCAACCCUUUGUAUAUUUUUUAAACUGUGUCUUCUGAAAUACGUCUUAGUUAUAAAAAAUUACUGGAUUCAAAAUGAUCUAAAUUUUAUUUAAUGAUCAUUCGCAAUGUUAAUGCUCUAUAAAAGAAUGCAGAGUUUUCCACACAACUUGUUCAGAAAUUGGAAAAUAUAUUUCAUAAUACGACUUUGAAUCCCGAAAUAAUUUUUAAUGGACCGAUUGUGUGGACGCUCUGUAUGUUAUAUACCGUUAUAUUAGCGUUUCUCUCUUUAAAAAAUGAUUUUAAAUUGAUAUUUUUUUAUAUCGGCAUUAUAAAAGCAAAAGUGUAUUAAAUGGCGAACGCGCCAGGAAAAUAGAAUAUUAAAGUUAAUAGAAUUUUUAAAAAAAUGUAAAAAUAAAAUUGAAAUAAGAUAAAUUCUGUAAUUUAAAUAUUAAUUUCAGUAUAUAUGCAUUUAUUUUUAUAUAUUUUAAGUAAUAUUUUAAUACAACCGAAAUAAUAUUUGUAUAUUUUUUAAACUGUGUCUUUUCUGAAAUAUGUCUUGGUUGACUUUUAGUUGUAAAAAAUUACAGCAUUCAAAAUUAUCAAAAUUUUAUUUGUUAAAUCAUCUGCAAUAUUAAUGCUCUAAAAAUAAUACAAUGUUUCCUAGCAAAAUAAAACACUAAUUCGCCACAAUAAAUCAAAACACUUUACUUUUAAACACUGGUCGCGCCUUUCGUUAACCGCGUUAGCAUCAUCAGUAGAUGAUUAAAAUUGAACUAUUAUCUGCAAAUUAAGCGUUUUUAUAGUCGCUCGGUUGGUACUGACCAAGCCUGGCAAAAUUAAUUUGCGAGACUAGAGCAAUAAGAACAGGGUACUGAAAGGAUAUAUUAUCUCUGUUCAUAUUAUCUUUAUAUUUAUUUAUUUUGACGCUCUCAUAUGCAUCUAAUUGCCUGUAAUUUGAGACUUGUUUAGAUUGACACUAGAGACCUGUAAUUUGACACUAGGUCCCUGCAGUGGCAAAAUCAACAGGUCUCUGCAGUGGCAAAAUCACCAGGUCCCUGCUGUAGGCAAAAUCACCAGGUCUCUGCAGUAGCAAAAUCACCAGGUCUCUGCGUUGGCAAAAUCACUAGGUCCUUGCAGUGGCAAAAUCAACAGGUCAAAAAAGAAAGAAAGAAAGAGGUGAAGAAAGAUACGUCAAACUAUAUUUCAUUACCGUUUGAUGAGCUUAUCCUUUGGUUAAAAAAUAUUUAUGAAUGCCAAUUAUAAAUUUGUAUAUAGCGCUAAAAAUAAAUUACAUAUAUUAGGUAAUCCUAAAGAUAAAACACCUCCACUGGAAAAGUCGGGUAGGUAUUUAUGAAAUUUCAUCUAUCAAAAAUUCAAUCAAAAAUAUAUUGCGUUAACUAGACGAUCAAUAUUAACUAGAUUUAAAGAACACAUGACUCAUAUAUGGGUAGAGCGUAUAACUCUUGCGUUUCUCAACAUAUUUUUGGUACAGAUUAUUUUAUAGACGUUAAUAAUUUAAAAUUAAUUAAACAAGUCCCAAAUUACAGGCAAUUAGAUGCAUAUGAGAGCGUCAAAAUAAAUAAAUAUAAAGAUAAUAUGAACAGAGAACUGAAAGGAAAUAUUAAUUUCCUUUCAGUUCUCUGUUCCUACUGUUCUAGUCUCGGUAAUUAAUUUUGCCUCACUUGGUCAGUACCAACCGAGUGCCUAUAUAAACGCUCAAUUUGUAUAUAUUAAUUUAGUUUUAUUCAUCUGCUGAAUGUUAAAAGUAAAGUAAGUUAUUGUGGUUAAUUAGUGAUUUAUUUUGACAAUUAAGAAUAUUACUUAAUCUAUUAUAUUAAUUAUUUAGUGUAAUGAUCAUCUGGUUACAGAUAUAAGACUUGUAUAUAAGCUACCGUAUGAUCGAGAAAAAACAGCGUCAGCGAUGGCUAUGAAAUGAAGGUCGCUGUCAUUUUAUAUGUAAAUUUAUAUGGGAAAUGUCAUCGAUCGUCAUUUCCUAGCCAACUAGAUGCAAUUUUUUUUUCGAUCACACAGUAUUUAUUAAAUGUAAUGAAAUAUUUAAGUAGGCCAUGAAAGCCAUUGCUACUGCUGAAAAUAAUAUAGAGUCUUAAAUAAGUGUACCACCCUGUAUAAUAAUUUUGUAGUACAUAUCCAGAAUACUGUCCACGUCAAAUAUAUUUAUACUUUUUAUACGAAUAAAG